AGUUAAUCUAUUUUGGCCUAAACUUUUUAAUUCACUUUUAAUAAUCUUUGAAUUCCCAAUAGUUCACACUUUUGUGAAAAACCUCAUUCGAGUUUAAGCCAGGGGAGUGCAUUUCCUAAACUAGAAAGUAAUACUUCACUCAAACUUUGAGUACGGCAUCACUUCUAUUUUUUGUAUCUAUUUGGAGGUAAUCAGCUUGUUGGUCACCUCAAUAACAGCACCAAUCACACAGUUGAGUGCCAAUAUCAUUUUAUGUUUUUUAGUGCAUCUCAUAAUUCAGAGAAAGAUACUAACAGGGUUAUUAGUGAGAUCUGUAAAUAAAUUCAGAGGUAAUUUCAAAUUUAAGGCUCAAGUAGCCAAAAUGGAA